CACAUACAUGGAUUAUUUGAUUGUACUUAAUGAUUAUUAUGAACACAUUCUAACCAUUUUAAUUUUUUUGGGUAUUUUUUUAAGAAUGGAAUAAUCCAAGCUAUGGAGACAUUGAAGAAUGGGUCCCAGAAAAGAAAAAAGCAAUCAAAGACCACUAAAAGCAUUAUGGUCAUAUAAGCAAAUAGAAUGAAAUCAUCAAGCUUUGAAGAAAUUGAAGAGCAGCUGUCAUAAAAAAAACAAUCAAUCAAAGACCACUAAAAGCAAUAGGGUCAUACAACGAAAUAGAAAACAUUGAUGGAUUCCAGCUUGAACAUCAGUUGUUUGGAUAGAUGCAAACAGAGUAAAGGAAGAUUGUGCAAAUAGAACACAUUGAUGGAUUCCAGCUUGAAGAGCAGUUGUUUGGAUAGCUGCAAACGGAGUAAAGGAAGAUU